CAUUCGUCCAAAAAAUUAUAAAAAGUCGCUGUUAUGUGGACUUAUCUCGCAGACUUCGGCUGAAGUCAAAAAUGGCGGUGUGAGAAAGGCUGCAAUAAAGUUUGUUGUUGUUUUUAUUUGGAGUUUGCUCGUCCAUUCAUUGCAAUUCUAUAAUUAAAGAUUUUUAGAUUCUUUAUGUGAAGAGUCGAAGGCAAUAGUAAAAACUGUGUGUUGUGUUGGGCUUUUGUCAGUUGAUUCAAUCAGUUUUAUACUGUUUGAAUAUUUGUUCCUUCACCUUGCACUUUUAUUCAAAACAAUUUUAAUUAAGAACAUUUUGUCCCAAGUUUUGAUUGGCUGACCGAUGUGAUUUAAUACAAGCAAACAAAAUUUUUUCGACUUUCAGCAUCUUGUUGUCUAUUUUGUACACUUGUCGGCUUUCCAAAGUCAUUGUUUGUUUUAAUUAAUAGCUAAAAGUGGGAGUCUUAUUCUGUUUGUUUUCAAACUAUAUAAUAUAAAAAAGGAGAAAAACCAGAGUAAUUUAUUCCUACACGUUUUCACAUCUGAUGAUUUGUCCGACUAAAAGACGAU